rnacentral:misc_RNA from 1 species
GAUGAAGAACGUAGCGAAAUGCGAUAAGUAAUGUGAAUUGCAGAAUUCAGUGAAUCAUCGAAUCUUUGAACGCACAUUGCGCCCCCUGGUAUUCCGGGGGGCAUGCCUGUCCGAGCGUCAUUACAACCCUCAAGCUCAGCUUGGUGUUGGGCCCCGCCGCCCCGGCGGGCCCUAAAGUCAGUGGCGGUGCCGUCCGGCUCCGAGCGUAGUAGUUCUUCUCGCUCUGGAGGUCCGGUCGUGUGCUCGCCAGCAACCCCCAAUUUUUUUCAGGUUGACCUCGGAUCAGGUAGGGAUACCCGCUGAACUUAAGCAUAUCAAUAAGCGGAGGA